rnacentral:tRNA from 1 species
CCGCCUGUAGCUCAGAGGUAGAGCAUGCGCUUGAAGAGCGCGGGGUCGCCGGCUCAAAACCGGCCGGGCGGGCCA